GACGAACGCUGGCGGCGUGCUUAACACAUGCAAGUCGAGCGGUAAGGCCCUUCGGGGUACACGAGCGGCGAACGGGUGAGUAACACGUGGGUGACCUGCCCUCCACUUCGGGAUAAGCCCGGGAAACUGGGUCUAAUACCGGAUAGGACCACGAGAUGCAUGUUUCUUGGUGGAAAGUUUUUUCGGUGGGGGAUGGGCCCGCGGUCUAUCAGCUUGGUGGUGGGGUGAUGGCCUACCAAGGCGACGACGGAUAGCCGGCCUGAGAGGGUGAUCGGCCACACUGGGACUGAGACACGGCCCAGACUCCUACGGGAGGCAGCAGUGGGGAAUCUUGCGCAAUGGGCGGAAGCCUGACGCAGCAACGCCGCGUGAGGGAUGACGGCCUUCGGGUUGUAAACCUCUUUUAGCAGGGAAGAAGCGAAAGUGACGGUACCUGCAGAAAAAGCACCGGCUAACUACGUGCCAGCCGCCGCGGUAAAAC
rnacentral:rRNA from 1 species